ACGAUGAGCAACAGCAGUGGCACCGCGGUGAUGUAGUCGUGGAGAGGCAGCAGCUCAUCCAGGAGCUUCGCCGGUGGCAGCAGGAAGCCGCCGGCACAGCCUUGCGGCGGCCAGAGGAGGAAACGGCCUUCUGAUCCCCUUAGCUCCCCUUUUUUAGGAUCGGUAGUUGAGGUCAUGGUAAAACUUACCUGUACGUGAUGGAUCACCCAUACAGGAGAGGAAGUACCUCUCUUUUAUACGUGGGGCUAGGGAACAGGGACCGAAACCAAUAAGUUGUUUGCACCCUCGAUCACAGUGCGUGCGUGAGAGAGGUAUGGUGGGCCAUACCCCAACUUUUCUCUCGGUUGUUAGCCGAGAUCAAUUCCAACAUUCUCCCCCUUGAUCGUAAGGCUAACAGACAUCAUAAGCCCACUCUUAAUAGAAAUAAUAUGGCAAAGUAAGGUGUUGCAAUGGCCAAUGAUGUGCCAUUAAACCUCAAUACUUAUACUAUAUCAUUCUAUCUCAAAUGGAUAACAUUUUACUUUAUGGGAGUUGGUUUAUUCGACGGUCCUAUUUUCCAGGAUCAAAAGGCUUUCUGAACCGAUGCCGGCAACAUAAUCAUAAAAUGGGUGGUAAGCCUUUAAUAUGCGGAACCGCAAAACUUAUAUAAAUCAAACAUCAUAUGUUUGGUCCUGGAUUCUAUCUUUCACAACAUGAAACAUAUUGUCUAUGGUCUUGGCAAAACCAUUUAACUUGUUGUUACUCGCAUAGAAAACUGCGUGUUCAUAUUGCAGUAGGUGGUUACAAAUGCUGUCUACAACCAUAAUUCCGGGAAUAAAACUUCUUCACAUACAACCUGCCCAAUAGCCUCUUAACAACCACAUAAGUAAGUGCAUUAUUUCCAAUGCCAUCAGUGUCAUUAUAGAGCUUUUCCACAAUAUAGCUCCAUGUGCGAGAGUGAGGAUGUAACAUAGCGUGGAAACUUUAAGAUCCACACAUCUCGCAGAAACAAUGUCUGAAUAUCUCAGGAUAUCGAAGUUAUUAGACUUCUUAUUAGUGAGCAUGUAAACUUUAUUGUCUUGCAUAUCUGCAGGACAUUUGGUGGCUUUUCCAGUGGUCCAUUUCUGGACUUGUAUAUUUAGCAAUUAUCCCGAUCACAAACAAGGGCAUGUUCAUACUUGAAUACACAUAUUGCUUCUGACAGCUGAAGCAUAAGGAACCGGCAUUAUCUGAUCAUUUCAUAAUGGUUCCUUGGACACUAAAAUGUCCAUCUUUAUUGCCCUUGACUUUAGUAGCAGGUGCGAUAAGAGUACUACCAUAUAAUAUUUUCUUUCGUACUCUAUCGAUGUAUGUCGUCAUAAAUAAAACUUAUACCCCUUUUGGACCUACAUCUUGGCUAAACUCGAUACAAACAAAGUAGAGGGCAUGACCAAGAUUCUUUAUGUCAUAAAUAGAAGAUAGAAAAUCUUGGCCCACCAAAAAUAUUCAUCUUCUCAAGAUAGUAUACUUACUCCCCCUGGUUUUAUGGUAUGAGUGUCCCAACGCUCUUCUUAUUUCAUAAUUGAAUUUCUUGGGGCAACAUGCCUUGUGUUAACUUCACCUAUUUGACGAAACCUUACGGUUAAGUCAUACUUACAUUCUUAACUUAGUCAACACAAGAGUAUGUUAUAAUAAUAACACAAGCGUCAAAACGACUCACUGAGGAAACUCCAUUGAGUUCCAUACAUCAUUAGAGCUCAUUAUCACACAAGCCUCUAAGAUGAUCAUUCACACACAUUAUGAAUCACACGGAAAUCGUUAAGUCUCAACAUUGAGUAUUGCAAUAUGCAUUUCUUCACAACUUACCUGAUGCGUAUGAACAAAGAUCUACUGGAGUUAUCCUUAAGAUUCAUGUUCAUAUGCUCGAGUCCAUGAUGAUCACUUUAUUUGAAAAAUGGAAAACAUAUCCAAUAUCUUGAUAAUAAUCAUUUAAGUUCUAAACCACAACACCGUUGGGCUGAAGAUGGAAAAGAACCUAAUGAAUUGUGACAAAUGAUUAUAAAUGACGAUAGUCAAAAAUAUAACCACGAGCCGUGAUACUGACAAACUUGCCAUUUGAGUGAAGUGCGACAUAUGAUUAUAAAUGACGUUGGUCAUAUAUGUAAUCAACAUGUUACAUCAUGAUGGUCAUUAGACAAGCAAGCUUCACUUUAACAUUCAUGUGUGCUUCAUAAUGCUCAUAAGGGAUUAAGUAUACAUUAACGUAAUAAAAGGAGUAUUUUUUUAUCCAUUCUUCUAAAUAAGACUUGUUGCAUCUUAAUUAGAUAAUUGGCAUUAGUAUAUGAUUUUCAUACAUUCUCCAACCAAGACUUCUUGUUGGUUCUAUCUUUAAUUGGAGAAUUAACAUACAUAUUUUGAGCUAAGUAGGAGAAGUGAACGUGAUAUCUCAUAUUAAAUGAGACUUCCAUUCCCCCCCUCGAAAUAUGGUCUAAAACCACAAUUUCGACGAGGUCUUAUUAUUUACACUUCUCUUACAUCUUUAAUUGUAACAUUACACAUAAUCUUUGUUGGAAAUAUGCCCUAGAGGCAAUAAUAAAUGGUUAUUAUUAUAUUUCUGUGUUCAUGAUAAUAGUCUUUUAUUCAUGCUAUAAUUGUAUUGUCCGGAAAUCGUAAUACAUGUGUGAAUACAUAGACCACAACCUGUCCCUAGUAAGCCUCUAGUUGACUAGCUCGUUGAUCAACAGAUAGUCAUGGUUUCCUGACUAUGGACAUAGGAUGUCAUUGAUAACGGGAUCACAUCAUUAGGAGAAUGAUGUGAUGGACAAGACCCAACUUAAGCAUAGCAUAAAAGAUCGUGUAGUUUCGUUUGCUAGAGCUUUUCCAAUGUCAAGUAUCUUUUCCUUAGACCAUGAGAUCGUGCAACUCCCGGAUACCGUAGGAGUGCUUUGGGUGUGCCAAACGUCACAACGUAACUGGGUGACUAUAAAGGUGUAUUACGGGUAUCUCCGAAAGUGUCUGUUGGGUUGGCACGGAUCGAGACUGGGAUUUGUCACUCCGUGUAAACGGAGAGGUAUCUCUGGGCCCACUCGGUAAUGCAUCAUCAUAAUGAGCUCAAUGUGACUAAGGCGUUAGUCACGGGAUCAUGCAUUGCGGUACGAGUAAAGAGACUUGCCGGUAACGAGAUUGAACAAGGUAUUGGGAUACCGACGAUCGAAUCUCGGGCAAGUAACAUACCGAUUGACAAAGGGAAUUGCAUACGGAUUGAUUGAAUCCUCGACACCGUGGUUCACCCGAUGAUAUCAUCGUGGAACAUGUGGGAGCCAACAUGGGUAUCCAGAUCCCGCUGUUGGUUAUUGACCGGAGAGGCGUCUCGGUCAUGUCUGCAUGUCUCCCGAACCCGUAGGGUCUACACACUUAAGGUCCGGUGACGCUAGGGUUGUAGAGAUAUAUGUAUGCGGAAACCCGAAAGUUGUUCGGAGUCCCGGAUGAGAUCCCGGACGUCACGAGAGGUUCCGGAAUGGUCCGGAGGUGAAGAAUUAUAUAUGGGAAGUCCAGUUUUGGCCACCGGGAAAGUUUCGGGGGUUAUCGGUAUUGUACCGGGACCACCGGAAGGGUCCCGGGGGUCCACCGGGUGGGGCCACCUGUCCCGGAGGGCCCCGUGGGCUGAAAGUGGAGGGGAACCAGCCCCUAAUGGGCUGGGGCGCCACUUUGGGCCUCCCCCCAUGCGCCUAGGGUUGGGAACCCUAGGGGGGGGGAGUUUCCCCUUGCCUUGGGGGGCAAGGCAACCCCUUCCCCCUUGGCCGCCGCCCCCCCCCCUUGGAGAUCCCAUCUCCAAGGGCUGCGCACCCCCCCUUGGGGGCCUAUAUAAAGGGGGGGAGGGAGGGCGGCAUACUACAGCCUUUGGCGCCUCCCUCCUCCCCUGCAACACCUCUCUCUCUCGCGUAGAAGCUCGACGAAGCCCUGCCGGAGAGCCGCUACAUCCACCACCACGCCGUCGUGCUGUUGGAACUCCAUCAACCUCUCCUCCCCCCUUGCUGGAUCAAGAAAGGAGGAGACGUCGCUGCACCGUACGUGUGUUGAACGCGGAGGUGCCGUCCGUUCGGCACUCGGUCAUCGGUGAUUUGGAUCACGGCGAGUACGACUCCGUCAUCCACAUUUAUUGGAACGCUUCCGCUCGCGAUCUACAAGGGUAUGUAGAUCCACUCCUUUCCCCUCGUUGCUAGUAGACUCCAUAGAUGCAUCUUGGUGAGCGUAGGAAAAUUUUAAAUUAUGCUACGAUUCCCAACAGUGGCAUCAUGAGCCAGGCCUAUGCGUAGUUACUAUGCACGAGUAGAACACAAAGAAGUUGUGGGCGUUGAUGUUGCCAAUUCUUCUUGCCGCUACUAGUCGUUUCUUGUUUCGGCGGCAUUGUAGGAUGAAGCGGCCCGGACCGACCUUACACGUACGCUUACGUGAGACAGGUUCCACCGACUGACAUGCACUAGUUGCAUAAGGUGGCUAGCGGGUGUCUGUCUCUCCUACUUUAGUCGGAACGGAUUCGAUGAAAAGGGUCCUUAUGAAGGGUAAAUAGAAAUUGGCAAAUCACGUUGUGGUCAUACGUAGGUAAGAAAUCGUUCUUGCUAGAAACCUACAAACCAUGUAAAAACUUGCAACAACAAUUAGAGGACGUCUAACUUGUUUUUGCAGCAAGUGAUAUAUGUGAUAUGAUAUGGCCAGAAGAUGUGAUGAAUGAUAUAUGUGAUGUAUGAGAUUGAUCAUAUUCUUGUAAUAGGAAUCACGACUUGCAUGUCGAUGAGUAUGACAACCGGCAGGAGCCAUAGGAGUUGUCUUUAUUAUUUUGCAUGACCUGCGUGUCAUUGAAUAACGCCAUGUAAUUUACUUUACUUUGUUGCUAAACGGUUAGCCAUAGAAGUAGAAGUAAUCGUUGGCGUGACAACUUCAUGAAGACACAAUGAUGGAGAUCAUGAUGAUGGAGAUCAUGGUGUCAUGCCGGUGACGAAGAUGAUCAUGGUGCCCCGAAGAUGGAGAUCAAAGGAGCAUGAUGAUAUUGGCCAUAUCAUGUCACUAUUUGAUUGCAUGUGAUGUUUAUCAUGUUUAUGCAUCUUAUUUGCUUAGAACGACGGUAGCAAGUAGGAUGAUCCCUUAUAAUAAUUUCAAGAAAGUGUUCACCCUAACUGUGCACCGUUGCGAAGGUUCGUCGUUUCGAAGCACCACGUGAUGAUCGGGUGUGAUAGAUUCUUACGUUCGCAUACAACGGGUGUUGACGAGCCUAGCAUGUACAGACAUGGCCUCGGAACACACGCAAUACACUUAGGUUGACUUGACGAGCCUAGCAUGUACAGACAUGGCCUCGGAACACGGAGGACCGAAAGGUCGAGCAUGAGUCGUAUAGAAGAUACGAUCAACAUGGAGAUGUUCACCGAUCUUGACUAGUCCGUCUCACGUGAUGAUCGGACACGGCCUAGUUGAGUUCGGAUCAUGUUUCACUUAGAUAACUAGAGGGAUGUCUAUCUGAGUGGGAGUUCAUUAAAUAAUUUGAUUAUAUGAACUUAAUUAUCAUGAACUUAGUCUAAAUCUUUACACUAUGUAUUGUAGAUCAAAUGGCCCACGUUGUCCUCAAUUUCAACGCGUUCCUAGAGAAAACCAAGCUGAAAGAUGAUGGCAGCAACUAUACGGACUGGGUCCGAAACCUGAGGAUCAUCCUCAUAGCAGCCAAGAAAGAUUAUGUCUUAGAAGCACCGCUAGGUGAAGCACCAAUCCCUGAGAACCAAGACGUUAUGAACGCUUGGCAACAGCGUGCUGAUGAUUACUCCCUCGUUCAGUGCGGCAUGCUUUACAGCUUAGAACCGGGUCUCCAAAAGCGUUUUGAGAAACAUGGAGCAUAUGAGAUGUUCGAGGAGCUGAAACUGGUUUUUCAAGCUCAUGCCCGGGUCGAGAGAUAUGAUGUCUCCGACAAGUUCUUCAGCUGUAAAAUGGAGGAGAACAGUUCUGUUAGUGAGCACAUACUCAGAAUGUCUGGGUUGCACAACCGCUUGUCUCAGCUGGGAGUUAAUCUCCCGGAUGACGCGGUCAUUGACAGAAUCCUCCAGUCGCUUCCACCAAGCUACAAGAGCUUUGUGAUGAACUACAAUAUGCAGGGGAUGGAAAAGACCAUUCCCGAGGUGUAUUCAAUGCUGAAAUCAGCUGAGGUAGAGAUCAGAAAAGAACAUCAAGUGUUGAUGGUGAAUAAAACCACUAAGUUCAAGAAGGGCAAGGGUAAGAAGAACUUCAAGAAGGACGGCAAGGCGGUUGCCGCGCCCGGUAAGCCGGUUACCGGGAAGAAGUCAAAGAAUGGACCCAAGCCCGAGACUGAGUGCUUUUAUUGCAAGGGAAGUGGUCACUGGAAGCGGAACUGCCCCAAAUAUUUAGCGGACAAGAAGAAGGCCGGCAACACCCAAGGUAUAUGUGAUAUACAAGUAAUUGAUGUGUACCUUACCAGUACUCGUAGUAGCUCCUGGGUAUUUGAUACCGGUGCGGUUGCUCAUAUUUGUAACUCAAAUCAGGAACUACGGAAUAAACGGAGACUGGCAAAAGACGAGGUGACGAUGCGCGUCGGGAAUGGUUCCAAGGUCGAUGUGAUCGCCGUCGGCACGCUACCUCUGCAUCUACCCACGGGAUUAGUUAUAAACCUCAAUAAUUGUUAUUUAGUGCCAGCUUUGAGCAUGAACAUUGUAUCUGGAUCUCGUUUAAUUCGAGAUGGCUACUCAUUUAAAUCUGAGAAUAAUGGUUGUUCUAUUUAUUUGAGAGAUAUGUUUUAUGGUCAUGCCCCGCUGGUCAAUGGUUUAUUCUUGAUGAAUCUCGAACGUGAUGCUACACAUGUUCAUAGUGUGAAUACCAAAAGAUGCAAAGUUGAUAACGAUAGUCCCACAUACUUGUGGCACUGCCGCCUUGGUCACAUUGGUGUCAAGCGCAUGAAGAAGCUCCAUGCAGAUGGACUUUUGGAGUCUCUUGAUUACGAAUCAUUUGACACGUGCGAACCAUGCCUCAUGGGUAAGAUGACCAAGACUCCAUUCUCCGGAACAAUGGAGCGAGCAACCAACUUAUUGGAAAUCAUACAUACCGAUGUGUGCGGUCCAAUGAGUGUUGAGGCUCGCGGAGGAUAUCGUUAUGUUCUCACUCUCACUGAUGAUUUAAGUAGAUAUGGGUAUGUCUACCUAAUGAAACACAAGUCUGAAACCUUUGAAAAGUUCAAGGAAUUUCAGAGUGAGGUUGAGAAUCAACGUGACAGGAAAAUAAAAUUCUUACGAUCAGAUCGUGGUGGAGAAUAUUUAAGUCACGAAUUUGGUACACACUUAAGGAAAUGUGGAAUAGUUUCACAACUCACGCCGCCUGGAACACCUCAGAGAAAUGGUGUGUCCGAACGUCGUAAUCGCACUCUAUUGGAUAUGGUGCGAUCUAUGAUGUCUCUUACCGAUUUACCGCUCUCAUUUUGGGGUUAUGCUUUAGAGACUGCCGCAUUCACUUUAAAUAGGGCACCGUCUAAAUCCGUUGAAACGACACCGUAUGAAUUAUGGUUUGGGAAGAAACCUAAGCUGUCGUUUCUAAAAGUUUGGGGAUGCGAUGCUUAUGUCAAGAAACUUCAACCUGAAAAGCUCGAACCCAAAUCGGAAAAAUGCGUCUUCAUAGGAUACCCUAAGGAAACUAUUGGGUACACCUUCUACCUCAGAUCCGAAGGCAAGAUCUUCGUUGCCAAGAACGGGUCCUUUCUAGAGAAGGAGUUUCUCUCGAAAGAAUUGAGUGGGAGGAAAGUGGAACUUGAUGAGGUGAUAGUCACCCCUUCCGAGUCGGAAAAUAGCGCAGCGCGGGAAAAUGUUCCUGUGGUGCCUACACCGACGGGGGAGGAAGUUAAUGAUGAUGAUCAUGAAGCUUCGGAUCAAGUUGCCACUGAACUUCGUAGGUCCACAAGGACACGUUCCGCACCAGAGUGGUACGGCAACCCUGUCCUUGAAAUCAUGUUGUUAGACAACGGUGAACCUUCGAACUAUGAAGAAGCGAUGGCGGGCCCGGAUUCCGACAAAUGGCUAGAAGCCAUGAAAUCCGAGAUAGAAUCCAUGUAUGAAAACAAAGUAUGGACUUUGACUGACUUGCCCGAUGACCGGCGAGCCAUAGAAAACAAAUGGAUCUUUAAGAAGAAGACGGACGCAGAUGGUAAUGUGACCUUCUACAAAGCUCGACUUGUCGCUAAGGGUUAUCGACAAGUUCAAGGGGUUGACUACGAUGAGACUUUCUCACCCGUAGCGAAGCUGAACUCCGUUCGAAUCAUGUUAGCAAUUGCCGCAUACUAUGAUUAUGAGAUAUGGCAGAUGGACGUCAAAACGGCAUUCCUUAACGGCUUCCUUAAGGAAGAGUUGUAUAUGAUGCAGCCGGAAGGUUUUGUCGAUCCUAAGAAUGCUAACAAAGUAUGCAAGCUCCAACGCUCAAUCUAUGGGCUGGUGCAAGCAUCUCGGAGUUGGAACAUUCGCUUUGAUGAGAUGAUCAAAGCGUUUGGGUUUACACAGACUUAUGGAGAAGCCUGUGUUUACAAGAAAGUGAGUGGGAGCUAUGUAGCAUUUCUCAUAUUAUAUGUGGAUGACAUACUAUUGAUGGGAAAUGAUAUAGAAUUCUUGGAAAGUAUAAAGGCCUAUUUGAAUAAGUGUUUUUCAAUGAAGGACCUUGGAGAAGCUGCUUAUAUAUUAGGCAUCAAGAUCUAUAGAGAUAGAUCAAGACGCCUCAUUGGUCUUUCACAGAGUACAUACCUUGACAAGAUAUUGAAGAAGUUCAGUAUGGAUCAGUCCAAGAAGGGGUUCUUGCCUGUAUUGCAAGGUGUGCAAUUGAGCACGGCUCAAUGCCCGACCACGGCAGAAGAUAUAGAAGAGAUGAGUGUCAUCCCCUAUGCCUCGGCCAUAGGGUCUAUUAUGUAUGCCAUGCUGUGUACCAGACCUGAUGUAAACCUUGCCGUAAGUUUGGUAGGAAGGUACCAAAGUAAUCCCGGCAAGGAACACUGGACAGCGGUCAAGAAUAUCCUAAAGUACCUGAAGAGGACUAAGGAUAUGUUUCUCGUCUAUGGAGGUGACGAAGAGCUCGUCGUAAAGGGUUACGUCGACGCUAGCUUCGACACAGAUCCGGAUGACUCGAAGUCACAGACCGGAUACGUGUAUAUUUUGAAUAGAGGAGCAGUAAGCUGGUGCAGUUGCAAGCAAAGCGUCGUGGCGGGAUCUACAUGUGAAGCGGAAUACAUGGCAGCCUCGGAGGCAGCACAGGAAGCAGUCUGGAUGAAGGAGUUCAUUACCGACCUAGGGGUGAUUCCCAAUGCGUCGGGCCCAAUGACUCUCUUAUGUGACAACACUGGAGCUAUUGCCCUUGCGAAGGAGCCCAGGUUUCACAGGAAGACCAGGCAUAUCAAGCGUCGCUUCAACUCCAUUCGUGAAAGUGUUCAAAAUGGAGACAUAGAUAUUUGUAAGGUACACACGGACCUGAAUGUAGCAGAUCCGUUGACUAAACCUCUCCCUAGGGCAAAACAUGAUCAACACCAGGACGCAAUGGGUGUUCGAUUCAUCACAAUGUAACUAGAUUAUUGACUCUAGUGCAAGUGGGAGACUGUUGGAAAUAUGCCCUAGAGGCAAUAAUAAAUGGUUAUUAUUAUAUUUCUGUGUUCAUGAUAAUAGUCUUUUAUUCAUGCUAUAAUUGUAUUGUCCGGAAAUCGUAAUACAUGUGUGAAUACAUAGACCACAACCUGUCCCUAGUAAGCCUCUAGUUGACUAGCUCGUUGAUCAACAGAUAGUCAUGGUUUCCUGACUAUGGACAUAGGAUGUCAUUGAUAACGGGAUCACAUCAUUAGGAGAAUGAUGUGAUGGACAAGACCCAACUUAAGCAUAGCAUAAAAGAUCGUGUAGUUUUGUUUGCUAGAGCUUUUCCAAUGUCAAGUAUCUUUUCCUUAGACCAUGAGAUCGUGCAACUCCCGGAUACCGUAGGAGUGCUUUGGGUGUGCCAAACGUCACAACGUAACUGGGUGACUAUAAAGGUGCAUUACGGGUAUCUCCGAAAGUGUCUGUUGGGUUGGCACGGAUCGAGACUGGGAUUUGUCACUCCGUGUAAACGGAGAGGUAUCUCUGGGCCCACUCGGUAAUGCAUCAUCAUAAUGAGCUCAGUGUGACUAAGGCGUUAGUCACGGGAUCAUGCAUUGCGGUACGAGUAAAGAGACUUGCCGGUAACGAGAUUGAACAAGGUAUUGGGAUACCGACGAUCGAAUCUCGGGCAAGUAACAUACCGAUUGACAAAGGGAAUUGCAUACGGAUUGAUUGAAUCCUCGACACCGUGGUUCACCCGAUGAUAUCAUCGUGGAACAUGUGGGAGCCAACAUGGGUAUCCAGAUCCCGCUGUUGGUUAUUGACCGGAGAGGCGUCUCGGUCAUGUCUGCAUGUCUCCCGAACCCGUAGGGUCUACACACUUAAGGUCUGGUGACGCUAGGGUUGUAGAGAUAUAUGUAUGCGGAAACCCGAAAGUUGUUCGGAGUCCCGGAUGAGAUCCCGGACGUCACGAGAGGUUCCGGAAUGGUCCGGAGGUGAAGAAUUAUAUAUAGGAAGUCCAGUUUUGGCCACCGGGAAAGUUUCGGGGGUUAUCGGUAUUGUACCGGGACCACCGGAAGGGUCCCGGGGGUCCACCGGGUGGGGCCACCUGUCCCGGAGGGCCCCGUGGGCUGAAAGUGGAGGGGAACCAGCCCCUAAUGGGCUGGGGCGCCACUUUGGGCCUUCCCCCCAUGCGCCUAGGGUUGGGAACCCUAGGGGGGGGGGAGUUUCCCCUUGCCUUGGGGGGCAAGGCAACCCCUUCCCCCCUUGGCCGCCGCCCCCCCUUGGAGAUCCCAUCUCCAAGGGCUGCGCACCCCCCCUUGGGGGCCUAUAUAAAGGGGGGGGAGGGAGGGCAGCACACUACAGCCUUUGGCGCCUCCCUCCUCCCCUGCAACACCUCUCUCUCGCGCGCAGAAGCUCGGCGAAGGCCUGCCGGAGAGCCGCUACAUCCACCACCACGCCGUCGUGCUGUUGGAUCUCCAUCAACCUCUCCUCCCCCCUUGCUGGAUCAAGAAAGGAGGAGACGUCGCUGCACCGUACGUGUGUUGAACGCGGAGGUGCCGUCCGUUCGGCACUCGGUCAUCGGUGAUUUGGAUCACGGCGAGUACGACUCCGUCAUCCACGUUCAUUGGAACGCUUCCGCUCGCGAUCUACAAGGGUAUGUAGAUCCACUCCUUUCCCCUCGUUGCUAGUAGACUCCAUAGAUGCAUCUUGGUGAGCGUAGGAAAAUUUUAAAUUAUGCUACGAUUCCCAACUAUCUUUACAAAUGAUCCAUUCAGACGAAAAACAUAACUUGUCUCACACUGGGGCGAAACUAAUGUUACAUAAUUGAAGUUGACGUAAUAACAUGCAAAAUCAUGUCAUUUGUUCGAGAAACUAGAAAUAAGUUUCUCCAGUAACUGGGAGCAAGAACAAACAUCAUCAAUUAGAUGAAGAAUUAAGUAUCUCCAAAUCCUAGUGGAAUAAAUCCAAUAGUUUUCACUUUAAACUCCAUUGCAUUAGUAAUGUGCAUGAUAGCACAUGUAUUUUGAGACCUCUCCCAAUGUCUGCCUUAACAUCAUGAUUAAAUCUGUAAACCUUAGUGGCAGAGAAACAUUGCGAGAUUCCUUACAUGAGAAAAUGAUCUCCACUCUCCACACGGAAAAGUUAUUUACAUAAGGUUUGUCUAUGCCAAAAUGGAAGUUGGCAUCAUUAUUAAUGUUCAUUGCUAUGAGAACAGAAGACAUCGUUAUGAACAUCACAGCAAAACAUCAAGCAUGAAUUAACCAUGCAAUGAGAUGAAUGAAAACAUGAUUAAUUUAUUCUAAUCUGUAUUAUCAUUGGGCAGAUAAUGGGGAAAAAAUCUUAUUCAUUCAAUAAUGACACAUGAAAGUAAUCAACAUUGGUCAGAAUAUCAUCAAUCGCCAUUAUGAAUUUGGCUCACUAAAUCUCUAAUAAAAACUUCUCGUUGGUUCCAUUUUGAUUAGAGAAACAUAAAAUCACAUAAAGACCAACAAGAAUAUUAACUAAAUUAAUAACCAUCAUUAACAUAAAGCAACAUUAAAGUGUAAUCCAUUGUGUCAUAGGACACAAGGAUUCAUAACGUGUUGUAGUCAUCUUGAAGUUAAAUUUUGACACUUAAUGAACAUUGAAAAUAACAUUAAACAUAAGUGUCAAAAUUAUCAUUAAAAUUCUGAACGACAUACAAUGAAUGUGACAUUAGAAUUAACAUAUAAAUAUAAAUGUCAUUGCGAGAGAGUAGACUUCAAAGUUACAGUCAGUCCAAAAAAAAGACAUUAAUAUUAUCGUCAGGAUAUCAUAACAUUUUCUAGGUAAUAAAUUUGGACACAAAUUUUCAUAAGGAUUCACAAAAUAACAAUAUUUGGUAGCAACAUGUACUUUGCAAAACAAAAACCCCUAAACAAAAUCCCUUUCUUUAGGGGAUUGAUCAUAACCCCAUGAACAUUAUUUUUGAGUCUUUAUGCAUAUUCCAAUAAUGCAUAUCAUAAUAAAAUGACAUGAAAUGCACCAAAUAAAAAUUUCAGUUUUGCCCAAUAGGUGUAUCGCCGCAAUAUUAUUAUGAUGCGGAAAAUUGAACCAUGUGACCAUCACAUUCUCCUUGAGGUGGCCUCAACCCAUUCGAAAUGAUCACAUCAUUAAGAAAUGACAUUAGGAUGGCAUCACCACAAACUUCACACUCAAAUAAAGUUUCCAAAUAAAAUAUUAAUGUUUAGAAACUUAAAUGAGUGACUGAAAAAAAUGCUCAAUAUUUUAACAUUAAGAUUUCAUCAUUGAAAUAAUACUUGAAGAGUGAUGACCAUAAAAUGUGCCUUUAAAUGACAUCAACAUUCACGCUAUAUUAAAUUUUCUAGAAUAAAAUUUCCCGUUGGUUCCAUUUUAUUUAGAAGAUUUAAACAUAAUUAUAGGCACUUUAAAACUCAUCAGUGCAAAAACGUUAUUUGAAACUUAAUGAAUGCACUAAAACUGCACAAAAUGCCUAAAGAACAUAAUUUGACCUAUAACCAUCCAUGGACUUUUAUUAAUAAAUCUUAGUCAUCAUUAAAGGAUUGCCAUGAAAUUACAUAAACAUUAUUUGUGCAUUAGUUUUCUAAGCAAAACUUCUCGUUGGUUCCAUUGUACUAAGAAAACUAAAACACAAUUUAGAACUUAAUUUUUCUGGCAAUUUUCUAUCUAUAACAAUGCAACAGACUUUCUUAGAAUAAUCUUAAUUACAGAAUUGCACUGAAUAAAAGAAAAUAUGCGCAGAACAUAAAUUUGUUGGCCCAAUACAGCCCACGGCUACCCUUAAUUCAUUCGGCCCAGCUCAAAAGACAAUAACAUUAGGGGGAAAAACGUUUCCUGCCAGGAUAAGACAAGCUGGGCCGCAACCCAGCUGCAGAAGCGGCGUUUUAAGCGCCCGAAGGCCCGUUCGGAGCUGCGCAACGGCCUCAGCCGUUGGAUCAAGCCGACGGCCCCGAUCCUCCCGGGCCAGAGCAAGAGGUCAAAACCCUAGCGGCAUCUCCCCUCAUCUCCCCCGAUUUUCACGGAGCAGCGACACAGAGGCGACCAAAACUGCGAUCCGAGGUACUCCGGCCAUGGCGGUGUGGCAGCUCCGUUCGUCGGAGCAGCGUGUCUGGCUCAAGGCUGUGCGCUCCUCCGCCGAACGGCGCCAGCCAUGUCGAGCUCAUGGCGAGACCCGGAGUCCUUCAGCGCCUGGGAUGCGGGAGGCAUCUCGUCGGCGGCUGCCAACGCAAGCAUUCCGCAGCGACGGUGGCGUCAACGUGCAAGGCACAGAGGCCGGCCGACGCGCGUGUCCAUGAGCACAGCAGCUGCGGCCACAAUCUUCCCGCGCGUCGUCCCGAGAGACGGCGGCGUCGGGAUCCAGAAAAGGAUAGCACCGCGUGGCUUCUUAGGUGAGCCCGGAUUCUUCUUUUCGCCAUUUUCAACAUUUGGGCUCCGAUUUGGGGAAAAUAUCACUUAUAGGGUUUCAAAAUUUCGAAGUUUUCUAGGGUUAGGGAUUUUGCCUGAAUUUGGGGAAAAAGGGGUUUCUUUAAUCAUGCAAUUCCCCUGCUUAUUGCUAAACAAGGGUUAACAGUGGUGGUUACACAUCAACAUAAUGCGGAAGCGUGGUAUAAUCACUCUUAACAGAGAAGAUUAAGCAACAUCAUUAUUCAAUCAGCAGUAACCAGCGAAUCCAGCCUUAAUCAAAAGCAAUUAGCCCUAAACACAAAUCAUUUACUCAACAGAGGGCAUUAAUCUAUAGACAAUAACCAUUAACCAUAACCCGAGAUCAUUAGGACUUAAUUAUAAUUAUCACCUUAAACAGAUUCUCAUUGAACUUGAUUAGGGAUCUAAUCUAGGCAUUAGCUUGCUCAUGAUACCAAUGUUAUAAAUAAUACUUUAAGAUUAUUGUAAUAGGAUCAUUUGCCUAGCAUUAGAUCACCCACAUAUGAUUAACAGAGAGGUUCGUGAGAUCUUACAGGCUUUCUCGUUGCAGGCACAACAUAGCCCAUGAACUCCAGUGGCGAGGAUGAGCAACAGCAGUGGCACCGCGGUGAUGUAGUCGUGGAGAGGCAGCAGCUCAUCCAGGAGCUUCGCCGGUGGCAGCAGGAAGCCGCCGGCACAGCCUUGCGGCGGCCAGAGGUGGAAACGGCCUUCUGAUCCCCUUAGCUCCCCCUUUUUAGGAUCGGUAGUUGAGGUCAUGGUAAAACUUAUCUGUAUGUGAUGGAUCACCCAUACAGGAGAGGAAGUACCUCUCUUUUAUACGUGGGGCUAGGGAACAGGGACCGAAACCAAUAGGUUGUUUGCACCCCCGAUCACAGUGCGUGCGUGAGAGAGGUAUGGUGGGCCAUACCCCAACUUUUCUCUCGGUUGUUAGCCGAGAUCAAUUCCAACAUUGGGAACUUCUUGGACAACAUCCAGACACGCUCACGCUAUGAAAAUCAUGCUAUCGGUUUUUCAUCAAGCACAUCACGACCACUGGUUCGGUUACUCUUUCCACUAUGGCACCUCGACUAGCCUCAAGAGUUUUGUUUCCAGCUGAAGGAAGUUGUCACCGGCGAUCUACCAAGUUACCACCAUGUGCCAGCGGCGGCGUCCAGGGUUC
rnacentral:lncRNA from 1 species